GCCUGGACCCAAAUAAUUUCCGAGCUCGUGAAGGUUGUGAUAGAAUUGAAAAACAUAAUGAGAUGGGCCUGGAUGGUACUUAUGAUGUAGAGGCUGAGGAAAUGAUGAACCCAAGUGACGGGGAGCCUGACUACAGUGAUAUGGAAAGUUGGUCAGAAACAGAGUUUAGUCAGCCAUGAGAUACCAGUAUUGAUUUUAAUGAGAGACUGCAUCACUCAAUAUGUAAUAAAAUAACAGAGACAAAUCUUAGAUGCCCUACUAGGCAAAAGGAUUGUUUUUCUCACUGGACGCAGGUCUGCAAAUAUUCUGCUGAUAAGUUAAAUGCCUGGACAGGCAGCCCAUUGUGAUGAUAAUCUGUUCACUGUGUGAAUUAUCAAUAAGAGAAUGUAUAUUCCAUGACUGAUGCAUGAAACUGUCUAUUUUGUGAAGAGUUUCUAGGUGGUUAAAUAGCUAUUUUUGUAUAUAUGGCGACCCUUGAAUAAUGUUCCGAAUGUAUUGAGAGAAAUAAAAUUAACUUAAAAUAUAGGAGGAACGGCUGAACUUUUAAAAGAUUCUUUUGAUAUCAAUUGCUGCUUGUAUAUUUUUAAACUAUGAAGAGUGAAUGUGAGCUAUUUAUGCAAUGUUGAAAUAUUUGAUGGCUAUAAACUUCAAAAUAAUUGACUUAUGCUUACAAAAUUAUAACAUAGAAAUGAUCUUAUUGUGACUUGUAAAUAUUUGUUGACAAGAGUAACAACAAUGUACUGUUGAUUGAGAUCUGAAAAAUAAAGCUAAAACCAAGAGCUUAGAAAUGUAAGAAAUUUAAACUCAAACACUGAAUGUUUACAGUCAUAAAUCAAACUUAACUCUAUCUUCUCCGUAAUUAUUUUCCACGUUCUGACAGAAUUAUUAAUUUAAUCCGAUUGUAGUGCACUAAUAUGUUCUAAUUAAAAUGGCAAAACUUUUUUAUUUACAAUCAUAGAAUAAUGUUUUUGAUAUUGAAUUAAAGGAAAAUGAAUGCUCUUUUUAGAUAUUACAAAAUCAAGUGUGUAAA
rnacentral:sRNA from 1 species